rnacentral:tRNA from 1 species
GUCUUCAUGGUGUAAUGGUGAGCGCAUUCGGCUUGUAUUCGAAAGGUCCGUGGUUCGAGUCCUGGCGAGGGCA